AGACCGCGAUAACCUCGGGAAACUGAGGCCAAUAGCGGAUAUUACUCUCAGGCUGGAGUGCCGAGAGUGAGAAACGUUCCGGCGCUGUAGGAUGUGGCUGCGGCCGAUUAGGUAGAUGGUGGGGUAACGGCCCACCAUGCCGAUAAUCGGUACAGGUUGUGAGAGCAAGAGCCUGGAGACGGUAUCUGAGACAAGAUACCGGGCCCUACGGGGCGCAGCAGGCGCGAAACCUUUACACUGCACGACAGUGCGAUAGGGGGACUCCGAGUGUGAGGGCAUAUAGCCCUCGCUUUUCUGAACCGUAAGGUGGUACAGGAACAAGGACUGGGCAAGACCGGUGCCAGCCGCCGCGGUAAUACCGGCAGUCCAAGUGAUGGCCGAUAUUAUUGGGCCUAAAGCGUCCGUAGCUUGCUGUGUAAGUCCAUUGGGAAAUCGACCAGCUCAACUGGUCGGCGUCCGGUGGAAACUACACAGCUUGGGGCCGAGAGACUCAACGGGUACGUCCGGGGUAGGAGUGAAAUCCUGUAAUCCUGGACGGACCACCAAUGGGGAAACCACGUUGAGAGACCGGACCCGACAGUGAGGGACGAAAGCCAGGGUCUCGAACCGGAUUAGAUACCCGGGUAGUCCUGGCUGUAAA
rnacentral:rRNA from 1 species